AAGAGAGAAAACUUGGCUCAGAUCUGCUAACCUUCAGAAGGGGAAAAAAAAAAGCUAUGAAGGGAGAAGGUGCUGGGAAUGCACACACCGCUGGUUCAUACACGUGGAGGCAAGGGAACAAAAACCAUGGGGAAGCUGGAAAGAGAAGCUGUGGUUACCUUUAUCCAUAUGGUUUUGCCUCCUAGUCUUCUAGCCUGGACACAUGAGAAUUUUCAAAGCAGUCGAGGCAAAUGUGAGCAAGAUCAACACAGGUUUUAGGGAGAACUCAUCUUUCCAGGACAGAACUCCCGUUUGUGUUGCUACCUCCAAUCAAGACAAGGUAUAAUUCCUCUGUGUUAUGUUUAAUACACAGUGAUCAUGUAAUCUACUAGGAAAAUGUGAUCU